AGAGCUGCAGGCCGGAGCACAGCAAGGGAAGAUGCAUCCAACUGCCUGCCCCAGGCCCUCAUCCAGAGACCCUUGCAAGACAGGCAAGGAGAAGGCCAGAGGGUAGAAGCCACCCUCCCCCACCUCGAGAGCUUUUACCUCUCGUGCUCACCUGGCGACAGAUGUAUAGGCGAACGCCGAGGUCAGCUUGGAGGGACAGCUGUACCACAGCCAGCAGAUCUGAGAGGUUGUACCUGCCCCCAGGAACAGCUUGUAGAGGCCCUGGCAGAGCUGGGGGGAAACAGUCCCCUCGGACAAGCAGGCAACUAGACCCUGGAGACCACACUCCCGCAGCCGAAGGCGCUGGCGGCUCCGCUCAGGUAGCCUCUCGUUCUGCUGCAGUCUGUGCAGGAUCUGUGUGGGGUCAUAGGGGGACUAUCAUCAUGGGGAAGGAGUUACUGUAGGAGGGGAAGUCACUGUGCUGGUGUACAGCUCAAGAGGCCCUUGAAGGCAGCUUCAUCUGCUGGCCCAAGGCCUGCUGUGCCUCCCUAGACCCCAGGCAGGGGCCCCAGUGAAUGGGAUGCCAGUGGGCUGGGUGUACCUUGCAGACUCGGUCGGGCAGCAGGGGCAGUGACCCUGGCCUCACCAGCAGGGCCAGCAGCACUUCGAGGUUCCCUGGCUCCAACAGAAAGAUAGCCAAGGACUCCUGUGCCAGGGAGCCCUGCAGCAGGGCCAGCAGCAAGUCCAGUGCACCCACCACCUGGAGAUGCAGGGUCUCAGGGUCUCAUACUGCAACAGGACCCGACCCGGCCCACACCCCCCCCACCCAAGCCUCACCCUCCCCAACCUCCAGCCUACCUGGCCAUCAUCGCCCGUGGCCACCAAAAAGCUCAGCAGGAUCUGCAUGACCUGCAUGUCAUCGGCUGAGAGGCUCCGCACCAGGAACUCCCUCGCCAGUCCCAGGAGGGAGGUCUGCACAGUGCGCAGGUCGUCAGCAGCCAGGGGGCGCUCCCGCUGCAGGCUGGCAGGUCAGCAGGCACAACCAGCCAGGUCGCCGAGAAAGGCAGGGAGAGAGUGGGUAGCUUCUGUCUGUGCUCCCGAACUAUGCUGGACAUGUACUGGAUGUGGCCUAAGCGGGCAUGAGCGGGGGCUUUCAGAUCCUCCAGGCCAGGGCCAUGCACUUGUCAGACUUCCAGGGCAGAGUCACAGUCCCCUCACCACACCACGGCAUUCUGGAUUCCUAUCAGGUGAGUCCCUCAGAGCCCUCAGUUCUAACUUCUCAGUGCUCAGCAGCCCUGUGGCCGGCCCUCACUCAGGUCCUCACACCUACCGAGGC